rnacentral:lncRNA from 1 species
ACACAAUGACAUUCUCCAAAUCUAAUCCCAAAGCUCCUAAGCAAGGCGUAGCCGAGAAUUUCAAGAUGAACAUGGUCAAUCUGAAGCCCCAUCUCAAAGCUUAUGGUUAUUAUAUGAAGAUCAAUUCUGAUAAGACAGUUGCAUUGGAACCUUGGGUGAAGUUGAUUUCAAGACCCACCCCGAAUUUUACCCUAAAAUCAGGAGUAAAUCCUGCGGGGACCAUCUCCAAAGAAGAUAUUACCAAAAAUUUGGCAUAACCUCCCUUGAAAAUGGACAACCCUUCCUAAAGAAAACCUGCAAACACUCCCAAAAUUUUCAAUCCAACCUUAACUUCUGGAGCCUACGUGCUCCCCAAAACACAACACCACCCAAAUUAUUUACUAAUCUAAACAAAUCUCAUAUCCAACCAUUUAUAGGUUCAGAGCAACUCUAACAGGAAGAAAGGAAACAUAAAAAAAAAAAAAUUAACAAGCGGAAGCUAUAUGAUGACUAUGCCUCAUCUCCAUGUACGCCUGACCUCAACUAUGCAAUCCUGCAAACUGGGCAUUUUUAAAAGAAGGGCCCAGGGGAAGACAUUUGAAACCGUUAGAGUGAGUGGACAAAAAUAAAUUAAUAAAUAUUUAUGCAUUCCCAAUUUGAAUUUCAUAGAAAAUAUACUACAUGCGGCAACUCAAAAGCUCACAACUCAACGAUUGGCAAUUUCGUGACUAGCUCCGGCUAGCCUCCAAACUUAUAUAUAUAUAAAUAAAGCCUCUCAGGCUAAAUUAUAUAUAAAUAUAUAUAUGUGUAUGUAUUUAUACUCGUCAUACUCCUUGUACGAAUUCUAUGAAGGAAUAAGCAAAAUAGAAAUUCAUACAAGACUACUACGCUUGCGUCUAACGCUCACGUCACACCAUAAUGGAAUUUUUCCUCAUUAUGGCGGAAAAGCACGAGUGUAUAUACGUGUGGACUCCCUAUAUGAAACCUAUAUGAACCAGAAAAGAAAGUAGUUUUCAUAUAGGGCUACUACGCUUGUGUCUAACACUCAUGUUACGCCAUAAUGAAAUUUUUCCUCAUUAUGACGGAUCAAGCACGUAUGGCUAGUUAGCAUUUAUAUAUACAUACUAUCCUCAUAAACAUCCAAUAAACAUAUCCACCGAAAAUCUCAUUUCCGGGAACUCUCCAAAGGAGGAAAAUUGCCAAAUAUCUAAGAAAGAAAUAAAUCUCAGCAAAAGAAAUAAAUGAUCAACAAAAUAAUUCAUCGCAUGUUUUUCAAUUAAAACAAAGGUCCACUCACAACUUUAGGCCUAAGCCUGACGUCAAUCCGAGGCUUCUUCUGCUCGGGCCUCCUCUCGUCCUGUUCCAGAUAUAUAAUUAAUUUCCCACUAAAAAUCCAAUAAUUAAACAAAAUGGGCAAAAUUAAACGUGAGCCUCCCACACACUCAUCAUUGCCCAACUUCGCCAUUCUUAACUCAAAAUGGCUCAAACUUCACCGAACAUACCGGCAGCCCUAAUUCAACCUUCCACAGAUUAAUGGCAUAAAUCAUUCGGCCGGAUUCUACAUUAUUCAACUGCCAAAAAUACCACACUUCGGAAAUUCAUAAACCUGUCCAAAACUCAUCCAAAAAUUCCAUAAUUCACUUCAAUAAACUCCCCUUAAUAUUCCAAAUUUAAAAACAUUAAAGUCUCCCAACCGGCGCCGGCGCCGGCGUCAGCUCCCCCGGCAGCGGCAGCCGGAGGCCGAUUCCAGCGACCUUCAAUUCCUACCACAUUUUAACAGAAGCUUCCUCUCCACUCCCUCUACAAGUUUUCUAACUAGCACAAACACAAAUUCCAAGCCUAGCUAGGGCAAUCGAACAUAAACACCUAAAGAGCCAUAGGAUUUCAACUUUGAAUUUCUCCUUACCUAGCUCAAGAGGGAGUGAGACCUUUGGAGGGGUUGCUGCAUAGGAGGAGGGCUACAAAACUAGCCAAGGAUCACCGGCUUUGGUGGCCGGAGGAGGGAGUUCUGGCAAUGGAGGGCUUAACGCAAUUGGACCUCUCGGGCCCGAUAUCUUCCUCAUGGCGGCGCUAGGGGGGCUGUCACCGGCCUAGAAUGGAAGCUGGGAUGGAGAUCGACCGAACGGGACCGGUGCGGCAGUCUCAGGCGGCUGGACGGCGGCGGACGAGCGGCCGAAAGUUUUCGGCAGAGAGAUGGCUCGGGAGAAAAACCGGGAGAGAGAGGGAGAAAAGAAAGAGAGGGAGUUGGGUUUGGGCCUCACCCAUCCGGUCCAAAACCUUUAAACCCACACUUACUCCAAAAUAAAACACCCCGAAAAAAUAGUACCCUAAUAAAAAUUACCUUUUACUGGCUAAAAUUUACCAUUUUUACCGUCGUCAUAUAUUUUUCUCUUACGAAUAAUUCUCCGUAAAUAACCGUCCCCCAAACCCCUCUAGGGACUAAUUAAACUAUAACCUCAAUGACGGAGACUAUAAAAUUCUUAUUAUAACCAAGAUAGUAAAUAAGGUAAAAAUUUAAGGGUCGGGAUGUGACAAUUCUUCCCUCCUUAUAAAAAUUUCGUCCUCGAAAUUUACAUACCUGCCAAUCGAAGAGAUAGGGAUACCGUUCCCAUUUACUCCUCUGAUUCCCAAGUAGUUUCCUCUACACUAUGACUCCUUCAUAGAACUUUAACAAGAGGAAAUGAUUUGCUUCUAAGCACUUGCUCUUUUGGGUCAAGAAUCUGAAUCGGCUCCUCAUCAUAGGUCAAAACUUUUUCCAAUUAAUCAGCUGCUCUCGCAACACAUGAAAGAGAUCGGCAAUAAACUUGCGAAGCAUGGAUACAUGAAACACAUUAUGUAUCUUGGAUAACUCCGGAGGCAAAACUAACCGAUACGCAAAAGAGCCAACUUGAUCUUAAAACCCAUAAGGGCCAAUGAAUCUCGAACCAAGCUUUUCACGUUACCAAAACGUACCACCCCUUUCCGAGGAGACAAUUUCGAAAACACCCCAAACACUCAUUUGAAACUCAUGGUGCUUCUUACGGACAUCUUUAUAACUCUUCUGGCUACUAAGAGCUGCUUUGAGUCUACCUCUGACUCCUUUAACCUUUUCAUUUGAAUCCUGAAUUAUUUUAAAUCUUCUCAAAGACUCUAAAUCCCUCGUUGAACUGCCAUUAACGUUUACACGAAAGUGAGUUCAGUGAUACCUGCUCCAGAGUACGAGUACUCGUAGGUAUGCACUCUUUCUUGAGCAAUGGAAAUCGCUAACUCAAAUAAAGCGCAUAAAUUUGCUAUCACCAUCGGGCUAAAAUCUCCUAAUGUCACACAACAACCUCGUCAUUACGUUGAUCACAAACUCGACGAUGAAGCCCACUUGCUAGGAAACUAAAGUUCACCCAUUCCCACAAGCUCAUAGGGGUUAAAAUUAAGACCCGCUAAUUGAACAGAUUUAAGGAUGCACACACUGUAGAACUGCAACAAUCACUUCUAAUACCGAGACACUUUGCGGAGUCAAAGCUCUCGCAAGUCCACAAGACAACCUUGUUCUGCCUAAGUGACCAGUCUACCAACAUAUGAUAACCUCGAUUCUCGAAAUGACAUUAUGAAAAGAUCAAUACCACGUCACUUAGGUCUCUCCACCAAAACUAUUACAUUACCAUUUUAUACACCACAAACUAGCAGCUUAUGGGAAUUUCAACUCUCUCCUGAUUCUGCGAUCUCCACUAUUCUCUUUACCACAAACCAGAAGAUAAUCUGAAGCAUGACUAUCAUGUGGAAACUGGAUAUUCCUCCAUGCUUGCCAUAAACAAAAAUGACUAAUAAUGCCCACGAAGAAUUCGCAUAGUUAAAUCAUGAUGCUAAACUUGACGUUGAAAUCCACAUAAAUAGAACACCUUCCUUAAGCAUUGACAAAAUUUACAUCUCCAGCCAUGCUACUUAUUCGGGUACAAUCACGACCCCAAGAGCAAUAAUUAAAAGCACAUGGCUCACUCUAGCCGUUCCAUAAGAAUGAUUCUAAAUAUCAAAACCUUUGAACUCGACAAACACACUUCUUUUCUACCUAUAAUAAUAAUUAAUCUGAUAGCAGAAAACGAUCUGAAAAUCAGAUAUGCUCAAGUCUCCUACGCCUCCCAGGGCCAUGGCUUCCCACCAAAAAGAUUCUUUGAUACUCGAGCUUGCAAUAACAUGCAACUAACAAAAACAAAGAUAAAUUUUUAUACAAGACCGACUACUACACCUUGUGGUUCACCAACCAAUGAAAACCAUGAAUUCAAGCAAGAAUCAAAACUCAUGGCUUAACUCAGCUCAAGUUCUAGAAGAAAUGACUUAAAGCACACAAAAGGCAAGUCCUCUAACUUUGAGCUCAAAAGCUCCACAAAUCUCCGAUAUUCGCCAGAACCCGCUUCGAAAUCGCACUAGAAACCUCCACUAAUCAUCCUGACACCAACGGAUGAACGCACAACCAAAUAACGAAGACCUCCCAAAUCAAACUUGGAUCAAUUACUGGUCCCACCACAAUACGAUCCCGAGAAGAGACGCUGAUCAACCUAUCAAAAUCUACUACUCUCAAUAUUAAAACUCUUAAUAAACCUUGACUCUAGACGCUUCUUGAGUCAAUAGGGGAAAACCUUCUCCCAUAAUGCUACAACAUAAAAUAUACCUACAACGACACCAACCAUCUAAUCAACAUCACCACACGACUCUUAGACUACCACAUAGGACUUAUGGCUCCAAGAUUCAUCGGUUAAUUAAACUCCAGCUCACAUGGGAUCACGAUUGGAUUUAUCCAGGAUCCAUGCCUACAACACAACAACCAAUUUAUCAUUUACCUCGAAACUUCGACAAAAUAACCAAAAUCUCUACCCUUCAUAUUGAAGCAUUGAAUUUGCAUUCCUUAAUUUCAAGCUCUGAGGAUGCUACCCAAAAACUACAGUAGGAAUAAUUUAAAUAUUCCCACACACACCACAACCAAAACUUUACUCCAUCUCACUGAAUAAGAUAUAAGGUGAGAACAGAUCCUCCCAUUGUUGUGUCGUAGCUAGUCACCCAUUGCGAACGAAGUGAUGUCAAUAACCAACUUCGAUCACAAAUUCAAGACUUAAAUCAACCACCCGGAACGACAUUGCUUAAAAAAAUUACUUUGGACACCCACGCACUCUUGCUCCAUGAUCUAGUGGGUUUUAUUCCACUGCUACCACUUCCACCAACUCCACACAACUGCUAAAGAAUACCCAUGACAACACAUAUUAAAUUCACCAGGUGUUGUCAUAAAACUGGAGUGACCACAACCAUCCCGCUCUCACUCCACCAUUACUUUUCAAUUCCAUCUAAAUUUAUCAUCUUCCCAGAACACUCAACAAAACUAGAGACCAAACUUCAACACCUAGAAUUCCGAAAGGAUCCAUAAAGGCCACACAAUUUAAAAAAAUACUAUAACCGAUAAUUGCCACUCGACUCUUCAAAGCUUGCUUGCAAUUCGAAACAUUUAAUAACACCAUUCAAUUCCUUAAAUUCUCUUACUAUAACGCAUGAAUACAUAUGUCACAACGCUAUGCCCAUGGGCUGUUGAAAAACCAACAACCCCAGAAAAUAAUUCGGGAGUCAUUACACCGAGCGUCUCAACCAACUCCAGCUAAAUCACAAUAUAGACAAAGCCAUCCGAAUCUUAUUACUCAUCGACUAUUAUUAUCCGUCAUUUCCAAAAGAUAUUACCACCACCAUCUUAAUAAAUUGCUCAAAAGAUAAAAACUUAACCAUAAUUAGAGUUGUAGGAACCAGAAUAUGUGCUGACAUAACCAGCAUUAUCCUAAAAUGUUGCCAACUGCUUUCUACUGCGGAUAAGCAUAGUCGGCAAAAUGGCUUUAAAUCAUGACUUAUAUAAAUUGACAUUUAGCUCUUUAUGUAGCAAUGCCUUACCACCCAAUCACUAGCCACAAAUCCCACGUGACUAAAAUCGCUCAAGCUUAGGGUCCGCAACAACUCAUAAAGGUACCUCCUAGAGUUACCUCCAAGAGUUACUAUAGGUACCCACCAUAACACUUCAACUAACUUUAACCUCAAAAGAAAACACCACUACCUCAAACUUUCUUUCUAACUAUUUUCUCCCAGAAGUCAAAUAACUCGAAGCCAAGAUUUUCUAUCGGACUACAACAACUUCACACUUGCCCACUAUAAAUAGUGACCUCCAAGGCUUGAAUUAAACUUUUCACCUUCUACACAUUCGCACGAGAUGCUCACCCUAGCAUCUUAAUCAUAACCCAAACAAUCAUUGAUCACAUGAAAGGAAUGCUGCCAUGCAUAUGAGUUCCCAUCUCGCAAUUAAACUCUAACGUACAAUUUAUGAUAUCAACUAGAUACCCUUGGAAAAGGCAUAAACCAAACACCUCCUUCCCUAAUCAAAGCAGGAUGAUCACUUAAGAGGUCGGCGUACGGAGGCCUAGUCUUGAAGAUAUAGACAUUUAUGGAUAAUACUGUCCAUAGAUAAGACAAGAAUAACUACAUCACAAACCUAAUCAACACAUAGUGUCUAAAACAUAUAAUGCUAAUAGAUCCGCCACAGUCGGACCAUCACUCUAUAGACACUAAGUAUGACCAAGAAUAUGAGGUAGUACUAAAAAGAGAAAGGAAUCGAAUAACGUAGUGCUCUGAUACCAAUUGUCAAAACCCACCCCGAAUUUUACCCUAAAAUCCGGAGUAAAUCCUGCGGGGACCACCUCCAAAGAAGAUAUUACCGAAAAUUUGGCAUAACCUCCCUUGAAAAUGGACAACCCUUCCUAAAGAAAACCUGCAAACACUCCCAAAAUUUUCAAUCCAACCUUAACUUCUGGAGCCUACGUGCUCCCCAAAACACAACACCACCCAAAUUAUUUACUAAUCUAAACAAAUCUCAUAUCCAACCAUUUAUAGGUUCAGAGCAACUCUAACAGGAAGAAAGGAAACAUAAAAAAAAAAUUAACAAGUGGAAGCUAUAUGAUGACUAUGCCUCAUCUCCAUGGAAGCUAUAUGAUGACUAUGCCUCAUCUCCAUGUACGCUUGGCCUCAACUAUGCAAUCCUGCAAACUGGGCAUUUUUAAAAAGAAGGGCCCAGGGGAAGACAUUUGAAACCGUUAGAGUGAGUGGACAAAAAUAAAUUAAUAAAUAUUUAUGCAUUCCAAAUUUGAAUUUCAUAGAAAAUAUACUGCAUGCGGCAGCUCAAAAGCUCACAACCCAACGAUUGCCAAUUUCGUGACUAGCCCCGGCUAGUCUCCAAACUUAACAAAAAUAAAGCCUCUCAGGCUAAAUUAUAUAUAAAUAUAUAUAUAUAUAUAUAUGUGUAUAUAUUUAUACUCGUCAUACUCCUUGUACGAAUUCUAUGAAGGAAUAAGCAAAAUAGAAAUUCAUACAAGACUACUACGCUUGCGUCUAACGCUCACGUCACACCAUAAUGGAAUUUUUCCCCAUUAUGGCGGAAAAGCACGUGUAUAUAUGUGUGGACUCCCUAUAUGAAAACCUAUAUGAACCAGAAAAGAAAGUAGUUUUCAUAUAGGGCUACUACGCUUGUGUCUAACACUCACGUCACGCCAUAAUGAAAUUUUACCUCAUUAUGACGGAUCAAGCACGUAUGGCUAGCUAGCAUUUAUAUAUACAUACUAUCCUCAUAAACAUCCAAUAAACAUAUCCACCAAAAAUCUCAUUUUCGGGAACUCUCCAAAUGAGGAAAAUUGCCAAAUAUCCAAGAAAGAAAUAAAUCUCAGCAAAAGAAAUAAAUGAUCAACAAAAUAAUUCAUCGCAAGUUUUUCAAUUAAAACAAAGGUCCACUCACAACUUUAGGCCUAAGCCUGACGUCGAUCUGAGGCUUCUUCUGCUCGGGCCUGCUCUCGUCCUGUUCCAAAUAUAUAAUUAAUUUCCCACUAAAAAACCAAUAAUUAAACAAAAUGGGCAAAAUUAAACGUGAGCCUCCCACACACUCAUCAUUGCCCAACUUCGCCAUUCUUAACUCAAAAUGGCUCAAACUUCACCGAACAUACGGGCAACCCUAAUUUAACCUUCCACAGAUUAAUGGCAUAAAUCCUUCGGCCGGAUUCUACAUUAUUCAACCGCCAAAAAUACCACACUUCUGAAAUUCAUAAACCUAUCCAAAACUCAUCCAAAAAUUCCAUAAUUCACUUCAAUAAACUCCCCUUAAUAUUCCAAAUUUAAAAACAUUAAAAUCUCCUAACCGGCGGCGGCGGCGGCGCCAGCUCCGCCGGCAGCGGCGGUAGGAGGCCUAUUCUGGCGACCUCCAAUUCCUACCAAAUUUUAACAGAAGCUUCCUCUCCACUCCCUCUACAACUUUCCUAACUAGCACAAACACAAAUUCCAAGCCUAGCUAGGGCAAUCGAACACAAACACCUAAAGAGCCCUAGGAUUUCAACUUUGAAUUUCUCCUUACCUAGCUCAAGAGGGAGUGAGACCUUUGGAGGGGUUGCUGCAUAGGUGGAGGGCUACAAAAUGAGCCAACGAUCGCCGGCUUUGAUGGCCGGAGGAGGGAGUUCCGGCGAUGGAGGGCUUAACGGAGUCGGACCUCUCGGGCCUGAUAUCUUCCUCACGGCAGCGCUAGGGGGGCUGUCACCGGCCUAGAAUGGAAGCUGGGAUGGAGACCGACCGAACGGGACUGGUGCGGUAGUUUCAGGCGGCCGGACGGCGGCGGACGAGCGGCCAGAAGUUUCCGGCAGAGAGAUGGCUCAGGAGAAAAACCGGGAGAGAGAGGGAGAAAAGAAAGAGAGGGAGAUGGGUUUGGGCCUCACCCAUCCGGUCGAAAACCUAUAAACCCACAUUUACUCCGAAAUAAAACACUCCGAAAAAAUAAUACCCUAAUAAAAAUUACCUUUUACUAGCUAAAAUUUACCAUUUUUACCGUCGUCAUAUAUUUUUCUCCUACGAAUAAUUCUUCGUAAAUAACCGUCGCCCAAACCCCUCUAGGGACCAAUUAACCGUUUGCAGAUGUGAUUUUAGAAGUGUUUGCAGAGGCGUGCUUGGUAUCAAAUCGAAGCUUGGAACAUCCUCUUCAAUUCUAGGUAGGUGGCUGGUCGUGUUGCGCCGCCGUGAGGGAGGAAUCACGCCGAGAAGGAGCGGCUGUGCGUGGUGGAGUUUCACCGAAAACUCUCUUUUCCGGCCACCAUAGCCGGAGCUGUUGGUCUCAACUUGAAGCUCUCCCUCCCAGCAGCUAAACCCUAAAAGGAUUCAUCCUAACUCGAGCUAGGUAAGGAGAAUCGAAGGUUUGAAUCUUCUAGGGUUCUUGAUUGUGUUUUUGUUUGAUUGAUAUGUUUAAGCUUGAAAUUAGACUUAGUGAUAGUUAUAAAAGUUGUUUGGGAUGUUGAGAGGAAGAUGUUGUUAAAAUUUGGUAGCCAGCGGGGGUCGCCGGAGUUGGCCGCCGGUCGCCGCUGCGGGCUGAGCAGACGGCGGCGCUGCCGCUGUAAAGGGGCUUUUCAGGGUUUUAAAUGUGUUAUGUUAAGAGGAGUUUAUUGAAGUAUAGUUUGGAAUUUUUGGAUGAGUUUCGGUUAGGUUUAGAAUUUUUCGAAGAUUGGAGAAAAUGUCGGUUAUUAGAAUGAAAAUCCAACCGUUGGAUUUCCUUGGUAUUUAUUAUAGAAUGUUAGAAUUGAUGAAUUAAGGUUGUGGUGGAGUUUGGUGUGAAUCCGGCGAGUUUAACCCUAUUAAGAGUAGAGGGUUAAACGGAGGAGAGUUAGAUAUUUUAAUUCACGUAUUUUUUUCUGGAAUUGAAGUUUGGUUCUAAGCAUGGUUGUUGUGCCAGGAUGCGAAGGGAACCUCGCUUGAGUGGCGAUGCGGUUAUCGUCGGGCUUAUGCCUAAAUUUGUGAGUGGACAUUUUGGUUUUAAAAAUAAAUAUGCAUGCAAGAUUUUAUAAUCUAACAUUUUAUUUUUCCGAGCAUAUAAUAUAAUUUUUCAGUUCAUGAGAUGAGCUUGAAAAUUAUUUGAGUUUGGUGCAUUUAUUAAGUGUUGGUCAUGAUUUAUGGAGUUGAGCUCGGAUUAUUAUUUUGAUAUUUGAGUUUGGAUAUUUUUAUAAAUUCCGGAUUUCAUUAAAUGGUUUUAAUGGUGGAUUUUGAGAUUUAUAUAAGAUUUCCGAAAAUGGGAUUUUCGGUAGUUUCCUAUUUUUAAUUCUCGAAAUUGUUGGUGGAAUAUCGAUCUUGACUUUGAGUUUUAUAAAUGAUUACCGAAAAUGGGAUUGUCAGUAGUUCUCCUCAUAAUUUAAUUGUUUAUUUGAGGCAUAAUGAUUUUGACUUGGAGAAUAUUUUAGCGAGUAUUUUCGGUCGGAGAUACUAUUAUUUAUGAUUCAUAGUUGUUAUUAAAAUCUCGCUUAUAUUUAUAAAUUGGAGAAUAUUUUGAUCUGUGAAACACGUCAUUGAGUUGUGUUAUGAUUUCUUCUGAUGAUUUUCAUGUACGGUUGGGAACCGUACCAUUCGUUUGGUCUUGGGGGAAGUUUAAUGGAUUUAAGUGACUUCGUAUGUUUUAGUCACCAUAUUAUAGGGUCGUUUAUCUUGAUUAUUGCUAGCUAACCUUAUUAGCGGUCCUCAUCAUAUGUGAGUCGCUAUUAUAGCCUUAUUAGCGGUCUUCUUCAUAUGUGAGUAGAGCGCUUAGCGUGAGACGCUAUUAUAGCCUGGGAGGCAAUCGAUCGGUAUUUAUAUUUAUUAGUUAGCUAGCCUUAUUAGCGGUCCUCAUCAUAUGUGAGUUGGGCACUUAACGUGGGACGCUAUUAUAGCCUUAUUUAGUGGUCCUCAUCAUAUGUGAGUUGAGCGCUUAGCGUGGGACGCUAUUAUAGCCUGGGAGGCAUCGACCUGAGCCUGGGAGGCUCCUUUUUCAUGGUGAAACUCUUCCCCUAUUUUAUUCUUCUCAAUAAUAUAUUUGAUUAACCAGCGGGGCCGGUUUAUCUCCUCUUAUGAGAUUUCUGUUUUAACUAACCAGCGGGGAUGGUUUGUCCUUUAUUAAGUGAUUUUGGAUUUAAGGUUUUAAGGACGUUUAAGUUGCAUGCUGUUAAGUUUUAAAAGUUGAAAAGUGGGAAAGUAUAUAAGUUUUAUAAUUGUUAAGUUAUUGAAUUUAUUUUCAUCCACUCACUCUAACGUUUUUAAAUUACUUUUCCCUGGGCCCUUUGGUUUAUAAAUGCCCAGUUUGCAGGCUAAGUUAUUUGAGAACGAGCGCACAUGGAGUCGAGGCAUAGUCGGAGGCUGCUUCCGCUUAUUCGUUUUCAUUGUUUUCAUUCAUCAUUAGAUAUGCUCUGAAAGUCCAGUAGUAGCUUAUUAAAUGUCUUUGUUGUUGGUUGUGGAAUUAUUAUUAGAUAAGAAAUUGUUAUUGGGAGUUUUGAUGAACUUGGGGAGCAGGAAGGCUCCAGAAGAUGAGGAUAGAUGUUUGAUUAUAGAAGUGUUAAGUUGGAUUUUUCAGGAAAGGGUUGUCCAUUUUCAAGGAAGGUUAUGCCGAAUUUUCGGUAAAUUUUCCUUAAAGGUGGACCCCGCAGGAUUUACCUUGGGUUUCAGGGUAAAAUUCGGGGUGGGUCUUGACAAAAAUAGAUUAGGUUGGUGCUAUAAAAGUUUCNNNNNNNNNNNNNNNNNNNNUACUACUUACUUACUACUACUACUACUACUACUCUCUCUCUCUCUCUCUCUCUCUCUCUCUCUCUCUCUCUCUCUCUCUCUCUCUCUCUCUCUCUCUCCUCUCUCUUAUAUUUCUCUGUGUGUAUAUAUACAUAUAUGUGCGCAUAUUUAUUUCAAACUGAAACACACACCCUGUUGAUACCCAAAAAUGUAAACAUGUUUUUUUUAGAGACUUAAGGUCAACGAUCAGGCUUAGAGCUAAUAUGAGGCCUGGAUCCGAGUCGUUUGGUCUGCCUCGAGCGACUCGGGGGUUGGAACAAAAUCUCUAAACCAUGGCAUGACAUGUGCAAAUUAUAGGAAGAGGUCACGAAAGCCAUGCCAAGCCUACACAAGGCCCAUUUGGGAGUCAAGCCAAGUCAUGCCAUGCUCGUUUAUGCCCAAGUGAUAAAACGUAUUUGCACAUGCAUCAAUUAACCCUAUCAACAAAUCAAUCGUAGCAUAAAGCAAGCAGGGAUCGUUCUAAACCGGGGAUCCAACUACAGGGUAGAUCCGUCUAAUCUAAUAAAAAUGUCGAAAUAUGCAUAUAGGGUUUAAGGGUUUGAUGAUUUCGGAAUAAACAUUGGAAAUAAAUCCUAAAUUACCUCUAUACAUAUUUACAUGUGAUCAACCAACAAUCAUGCAAACACAACCAAACAACCAUGCAAGAACAAAGAAGAUGAUAUCUAAUCUCAAUUAAGUCCACACCGUGAGCAAAUACACAACCUAAAUUUGAUAUGCACAUAAGUUCCUACGUGGUUCCUAUGACAUAGACAUACUUUGAAUUAGACUACGGGUUUCAUUCAACAUCGUGACACAAACAAGCUCGGCUACGUGCUCUACUUAUAGGUCACACACAUAAACUAAUCACGCAAUUACGUAUCACAUAAAGAAUCGAUGUGUUUAAGUACAAGUCCAAAUCAAACAUAGGUAGAAAAUCAGUGAAAUAACAAAGACAAUGCAACUUAUCAACUACUUGUAUCAAAGUCGAACCUUGGAUGAUUAACACAUGCAACAUCAACUACUUGUAUCAAUUACACAUGAAAAUAGAAGAAUACACCGAAAAUCUUAAAGUACAUGGACAUAGAACUCACGGCAUAAAACCUAAAAUCAUUGAUCAUAAAUUGUAAACUUCAAUUCAAUACAUGGCUCAAAAGUACUUCUAUCUCAUAGACAAGAAUCGAAACAUACUUAAGCAAAAACCUAAAACAAACAUAAAAAAGAACGAACACAUUCUAAUCCGAAAGUAAAAGAUGGAAUUCACUCUCAAAAUAUCCCUACUUGUUCUAUUCUUCGAGUGAGCGGAACCCUAGGCUACUUGCUUCGGAUCAAGGAUGAUGGUGAGUUCAGAUUAUGGUGUUUGGAGAAUGAUGGAUUUUCGGCAAAGCUUUUGGCGUAAUUUUGCACGGGUUGAUGAUCAUAAACUGCUACCAUGCCGUGCCCUAUAUAUAGAGUAACAAGACUUGAUCUCCAAGAAUUCCUCAAGCACAGGGAAUCCUUAUUAAAUCGGCAAAACCAAGUCCAAGUUGGAUUUAACNNNNNNNNNNNNNNNNNNNNNNNNNNNNNNNNNNNNNNNNNNNNNNNNNNNNNNNNNNNNNNNNNNNNNNNNNNNNNNNNNNNNNNNNNNNNNNNNNNNNNNNNNNNNNNNNNNNNNNNNNNNNNNNNNNNNNNNNNNNNNNNNNNNNNNNNNNNNNNNNNNNNNNNNNNNNNNNNNNNNNNNNNNNNNNNNNNNNNNNNNNNNNNNNNNNNNNNNNNNNNNNNNNNNNNNNNNNNNNNNNNNNNNNNNNNNNNNNNNNNNNNNNNNNNNNNNNNNNNNNNNNNNNNNNNNNNNNNNNNNNNNNNNNNNNNNNNNNNNNNNNNNNNNNNNNNNNNNNNNNNNNNNNNNNNNNNNNNNNNNNNNNNNNNNNNNNNNNNNNNNNNNNNNNNNNNNNNNNNNNNNNNNNNNNNNNNNNNNNNNNNNNNNNNNNNNNNNNNNNNNNNNNNNNNNNNNNNNNNNNNNNNNNNNNNNNNNNNNNNNNNNNNNNNNNNNNNNNNNNNNNNNNNNNNNNNNNNNNNNNNNNNNNUUGGGAAAUCUCACGGCAUCUUCAUACAUAUCUCGGAUUGUACUUCUCCUAGCUCAAGCAGGAACUCCUAGCUGCCGGCCACCUUUCCCUCAUGAGUCAGAAAAACAUUUCCUAGUCAACACGGGUUUAGAGUUUCCUGAAAUAGAAAUAAGAAAAUUAGAAACUAGGAAAGAGGAAAGAUGGAAUCCUGAUCAAGACAAGAAUCCUGAGUAAACAAGGAUUUCCAACACUUAGCACAAUUUCAACACCAAAUUAUUCAAAUCCGAAAAUACUAUGUAUUCUAACACUAAAACCUACAUAUUUCUACAUUAAGCAAUUAUUCUACACUAAACAUAAAUAUAAAGCUAAAACAACUAAAUAGGAGUUAUCAAAGGGUAAAUAAAGGGUAUAAACAUAUUAAGAACGUCACACUUUGUGCUCCUAUCACCAAGCCUACUAUGACAUGCUCGUUUAUGCCCAAGCCUACUAUGACAUGCUCAUUUAUGCCCAAGCCUAUCGAGGGAGGUAAACCCACGCCAUGACGUUUAUGCCCAAGCCUACUAUGAUAUGCUCAUUUAUGCCCAAGCUUACUAUGACAUGCUCUUUUAUGCCCAAGCCUACUAUGACAUGCUCAUUUAUGCCCAAGCCUACUCAUUUUAUCUAUCUAGGACAUGGGAGGCAAGCCACGCCAUGACGUGCCCAAAUCUACUCAAGACCCAUUUAGAGUUAAGCCAGGCCAUGCCAUGCGAGUUCAUGCCUAAGCCUAUUCUCUUUACGGCACGUGGUGUCUCAUGGACACGCUUCAAUGACCACCACAUGCCCGCCCAUUUCAUGCAUGUGUCAACACACGCCAGGCACAUGUGUCAACACACGCCAAGCACAGUUGCGCACAAGCAUCGUGGAGCAUGGUGGAUGGUAUACACCGAAAACCAUCCAUCACGACAUGCCACGCCACGCGGCCAGCCAGUAAUGUGGACCCAAGACACACUAGGCCAAUGGGGCUUAUUUAGUGGGUUGUGGUGUGGAAGGACACAUGAUCUUUGUCAGGCCUAUGGAGACCAAAUGUCAAGUGUCCGAGACGUCUUGGGAGUCGAGGAUCAAACUUGAAUUUGAGCUUCCCGUGCAUAGGCAUGUAACAGAUACCUCAUCUCAUCACCCAAUGCCUUUAGACAUAGGAUGCUAACAUCACAAAUCACCUCAGACCAAGUCACCUCAGACCUGUCUCCACAACUUUCACCUUAUAAGCUUAAGGCAAACCCAAGGCCAUGUCUUGUUUGAACCCGUUAACCAAAAGUAUCUUGGUAAGAAAUCGAGAAGGGAUGUCUCAGAACCACUGCCACCUUUACGUUUUCUUAGCUUAAGGCUCGAACGAUGACAGUGAGAAAGAGGGUUCUGACCUUUGCUAAAAUUAGAGAGUCACGGGUCAUUUUUUUACCCUCAGUCUUCGACCUCAAUUUUAUUUAAAGGAAGCUACAGUGGGAUUGAGACACAACACCUACAGGCAAAGAAACCACUACCAAGCUCCUCAUGCUUAACCGUCUCUAGACCACCAUCAUCAUACCUAUCCUUCCAGACACCCUAGAUCAUCACCACCAUACCCAUUCUCCUAAACACUUUCAAACACCUCUAACCACCACCACCAUAUUUUUACAAUCCUUCACCCACAUUUGAUGAGCAUGCAUUCUGUUACACUUGCAAGAUCCUAGCUCCCACACCUUACACACUACUAAGUCCUCUCAGUAUUGAUAUUACACACGCUUGGAGCCUCUCCAUCACAACAAAGUCUAUCUUAGAAAGACUUUGGGCCUAGUCUCGUAACCCUAAAAGGGAAGAUCAAAUCAGCAAGCCCAACAACGACAAGCUCUUAGAUCCUAAUUCAAUUUCUACCCCAACAUAAAUUGGCGACUUCACUGGGGACUAGGCGGUGAUUCAUUAAAAUGGCUCCUUCACGCAACAAGAGAAGCAAGAUGCCUUCACAAGAUGGGGGAGAGCGUCAAGAAGAUGAAGAGCGUCAGGAGGAGUUUGCCUCUAGGCAACAUGAGUCUGGGAAUCAUGAUAACAUGCAUGAGGAGGAGACGGUGAUCACUGCCGCCGAUCUCCUACGUACUUUCAAUACUUUUGGAGAAUCCCAAAGGGAGCUAGUUGAAGCCAUGAAGGAGAUAAUAGGUUCCCUCUCAGCUAAGAACCCCCGAGAGGAACUAGACAAGCACUCUCAAGAAGCUAGAGAUAAGAACUCUUAUGAGGAGUCAGCCCCAAGGGCAGCAGCUAAAGAAUCCGAGCAAAAGGGAUCAAGAGCUGAAUAGAAGAAUACUUCUUUUGUCACUCAAGAAGAUGUGCUUGCCAUGCUAGAAAGAGAGUUGCCGCGCACCAAUGAAGAUUGGAAGUACCUCCCCCAACCACCUUACUUAGCAAGCUUGGUCAAUCGCCCUUAUCCCAAAGGUUAUGAAACACCAAGCUUUGUCCUCUUUGAUGGGAGAAAAGGAAGUCCAAGAGAGCACAUAAGCCGUUUCAUUGAUGCUCUUGGACCUCACGCUGGUGAUCAUAAUCUCAGGCUCCGUGAGUUCUCAAAAACCCUCACCGACCGUGCCUACACUUGGUAUACUACUCUAGCACCGGGUUCUAUUCGUACUUGGGAAGAUAUGGCAGACAAGUUUUGCAAAAAAUACUUCGAGCAUGAGGAGAGAGCCACUUUGGCUCAACUCAACAGCACUCGCCAAAGAUCAAGCGAAAAUCUAGUUGAAUUCGUGAGGCGCUACAGAGACCUUGCUUUGGAUUGCUAUGAUGAGAAAGGAGAAGAAGCCUUGGUGGAGAUCUGCGUCGGUAACAUGCUACCUGAAUACAGGGUGUACCUUGAGAAUGCAAACAUAGGUACCUUUACACGCUUGAUGGACGCUGUAAAGAAGACAAGCAUGUCUGUCAAGGUUGUUAAUGAAAAUAGAACAUGGAGGUCAGAGAAGGAUACACAUCAAGCAUUGACAAUUGGUGAAAGGCACUCAAACUCAAAUAAGCGCAAGGAUAGAGAAACUUAUCCUGCUUUGCCAUGCUGCGAUGAAGAACUUAAUGCCAUCCUAGAUACCAUGUUUGCUGAUGGUGUAAUCAAGCCACCAUGCCCAUACAAAAACCCAUCUAAAGAAGACAGAGCACACCCAUGCUGCUGUAGGUACCACCGGCUUGUCGGUCAUCCUUCAUCUGCUUGCCAAUUCCUAAGGAAGUUUCUUAAUGAAAAGAUCCAGGAUGAGACUUUAGCUAUACCCUCCAAGAAGCAAGCUAUCGAUGAUGAUCAUUUGCCUCGCCGACGGCCAGGAAAAGAAACAGCCGUUGUCAUAACUUGCUUUGAAGAUGAUAUGGAGGAAGGAAGCCGCCCUAGUGGCCAGGUGCCCUACUUGGUUACGGAGCCGAAAGAAGGAUGCUUUGACAUAGUUUCUUGGAAUAAGAGUUGUAUGCCACAGAGUUACAAUACCCCAUGCUCUGAUCCCAUAGAGUGGAAGGAAGAUGAGCAUGCUCACUAUCACAUGGGGGAUUCAAGCAACAAAGAAGCGACUGGAGUGACAUUCACUGAUUUGGAGGAGAAUGUGGCAAGGUCUCACCUCAACGAAAGCAAAAAGCAGCGAUCUUAUCCAACAUGUUCACGAGUCCUUCAACAGAGCCCAAAGUUCAAAUCUCUUUUUGAUCAGCUUGAGUACGGACAACAGGCUAGGCAAGCAGCAGUAGAAGCACUCAUGCAGGUCUCAGCUGAUUUUGGGCCUCAAAGAUCUUCAAUUGAGUCAGCCAACAAUAGGGCAUUCAUGGAGGACCCUAAUAGUGUAAAUUCACAGAGGAAGACAUAGUGGCUCCUUACGUAGACCACCAAAGGCAAGCCUCAGGACCUUCCAAAUUUUCUCCAUCAUGGGAAGGUCCUUUCAUUGUGAAGGAAGCUUAUCAAAGCAGAUACUACAUGCUUGUCUCACAAGAUGUUGUGACAAUGGAUCCCAUCAACAGCAAAUGGCUCAAGCUUUAUCAUUCUUAGCUCAUCUAUUUUCCUCCCUUUGGUGGGAACCCUUUUGUACUUUUGUUCAAGCUUCCACACCUUUUGUUUGCGACCACAAUAGUGUAGCCAACCAAGGAAGCAUGAACUCGAAUAAUGUUAUGAUUUAUCCUUGAAAAGAGUAUUCCCUUUGAAGUCCAUACUCCCCUCACAAACUCCCGUUAUUUUUUUAUGCUCACACAAAUAGUUUAAUUAUGUGAUCUAACUUUUGCUCACAUAACCAAGGGGGGCUGACACAAAUGAUAAAGGUCAUAAUAAUGGGAUCUCAAGCAUAAUUCGUCAAGCAACGCACAUGCAACCCCAAAAAAAAAUCACAAAGCAAGGUUACAAGACAAACAACAAAAUCAAGCUAUGGCUUCAACCAUAAGAUAAAUUGCAUGCCAAGCACCAAAGCCAAGUGAUGUCAUGGCUUCAACAGUAAAAUAAAGUUAUGUGCCAAGCACCAUAGCAAAGUCAUAACUCCAAGCAGCAAAACCAAGCUUCGAGUCAAGCAAAUGGAGUAAUAAGCCCCUUUAAGAUUACAAGCUCCCUAUUCUUCAUGAGCAUGCAUUUGCUCAAGGCUUACAAUCAAGCAAGCCAAGCAGGUCAGCUUUCCCUACGCCUGCAUGAGGUUGACUCAAAUAGUCAUAAGCUAGGUCAUGGAAAGAUAUUGAGAUAUCACCACGUGGGUCAUGCCAUGCGCAAUUAGCAAAAUGAUUCCAUAUAUCUAUUCAAUGUGAUACAAGUACAAGCAAAUUAAUUUACUUACACAGUUACACAUGCUACCAAGGAGAUGUACCCACCCACACUAUCAAUCUCACGCAAUAUGGAUCAACUUGAAAUGCCCGUAGCAACGGUAGCAUUGUCUGAUUUUGUGUCCCAAUAGCUUCUCUUCUUUGUCUAUACAUCUGGGGGCUUUACAAUGUCCUCCACCGCUUUUGGAUGUGUUUUCCUCUUCCUACUUGGGACACUCGAAUUCUCAUUGUCAUAUGAUGAAUUCUCCCAUCCAUACAUCAUCACUUGACCUAAAGGAUAGUAAUCUUGAAUUACGGGUCUCAUACUGGACGUACUUGCUAGAAUCACUCAAGACUCCAAACCAGUAAGUAUGAAAAGUUUUGGAUUUGUGCCCUACUCUUUUCUUACCUGCCAAUGUUACAGAGGCAGUCUCAUCUAAAGCUUCCAACUUCCCAUAGAAUAAGUCACUAGGCAUGCCACACUCUUCACUUUACUCUAUACCGCACAAGAUUCCUUAAUCUAAGCCAAAUUGACGUUUUACUCAUUGGGGAAAAUAUGAUAUGAAAGAGCUUUUGUAGAUGCCUAAUAAGGAACCCUAUUAGAACAUUCAAGCACAUAAGGUCACGCACCACAUCAUGCCAUACCAAAAUGUCAUCCGACACCAAGUUAGACAUGAGUGUCUUAUCCAUGCUGUAAAGAAAAAGCCUAAGCCUCUCAAAUAUCAUGGUCUUGGUAACAUGCUUCCUACCUCAAUUAACAUAUACAUGUUCUCUUUGGAUCCUACACAAAGUUUGAGGGGAGGAGACUGAAUUUUCUCAUGUCCCUCUAUGCCAUGCCAUGCCAUGACACUUUUCUCAAAUUACACGUUUAGUCCCUCGACACUUUUCUCAAAUUACACGAUUAGUCCCUCGACACUUUUCUCAAAUUACACGAUUAGUCCCUCGAUAUUUUUCUCAAAUUACACAUUUAGUCCCUCGGUACUUUCCUUAAAUUACACAUUUCGUCCCUCGACACUUUUCUCAAAUUACACCUUUGGUCCCUCGACACUUUCCUCAAAUUACACGUUUGGUCCCUCGGCACUUUUCUCAAAUUACACGUUUGGUACCUCAGCACUUUCCUCAAAUUACACAUUUGGUCCCUCGGUACUUUUCUCAAAUUACACGUUUGGUCCCUCGACACUUUUCUUAAAUUACAUCUUUAGUCCCUAUCAUGGGUGACUUAUACCUUUUUUACAUACACACAAGCCACAAUUUCAACAAACUAAGGCACGGCCGAGCACCAAGAUGCCAAGCACACAUUCAUGAUCUCGCAAUCGACGCUCUCCACAAGCCAUGAGCAAGUACUUCGAUGCAUUUCAUUUGAUCAUGUCACUCGUCUUACACGAGCAACAUAAUCAAGGGGGCUAAUGUUGAUACACAAAAAUGUAAACAUGUUUUUUUUAGAGACUUAAGGUCAACGAUCAGGCUUAGAGCUGAUAUGAGGCCUCGAUCCGAGUCGUUUGGUCUGCCUCGAGCGACUCGGGGCUUGGUACAAAAUCUCUAAGCCACGGCAUGACAUGUCCAAAUUAUAGGAAGAGGUCACCAAAGCCAUGCCAAGCCUACACAAGGCCCAUUUGGGAGUCAAGCCAAGUCAUGCCAUGCUCAUUUAUGCCCAAGCCUAUUAUGACAUGCUCGUUUAUGCCCAAGCCUACUAUGACAUGCUCAUUUAUGCCCAAGCCUAUCGAGGGAGGUAAGCCCACGCCAUGACGUUUAUGCCCAAGCCUACUAUGAUAUGCUCAUUUAUGCCCAAGCCUACUAUGACAUGCUCAUUUAUACCCAAGCCUACUAUGACAUGCUCAUUUAUGCCCAAGCCUACUCAUUUUAUCUAUCUAGGACGUGGGAGGCAAGCCACGCCAUGACGUGCCCAAAUCUACUCAAGACCCAUUUAGAGUUAAGCCAGGCCAUGCCAUGCGAGUUCAUGCCUAAGCCUACUCUCUUUACGGCACGUGGUGUCUCUUGGACACGCUUCAAUGACCACCACAUGCCCGCCCAUUUCAUGCAUGUGUCAACACACGCCAGGCACAUGUGUCAACACAUGCCAAGCAUAGUUGCGCACAAGCAUCGUGGAGCAUGGUGGAUGGAAUACACUGAAAUCCAUCCAUCACGACAUGCCAUGCCACACGGCCAGCCAGUAAGGUGGACCCAAGACACACUAGGCCAAUGGGGCUUAUUUAGUGGGUUGUGGUGUGGAAGGACACAAGAUUUUUGUCAGGCCUAUGGAGACCAAAUGUCAAGACCCACCCCGAAUUUCACCCUGAAACCCGAAGUAAAUCCUGCGGGGACCACCGUUAAGGAAAAAUUUCCUGAAAAUUCGGCAUAACCUCCCUUGAAAAUGGACAACCCUUCCUAAAUAAAACACCUGCAAGCACUUCUAAAAGUUCCAACUCCAACCUUAUAAACUCCUGGAGACUUCGUGCUCCCCACAAUCACAACAUCUCCCAAUAUAGAUUCACUAAUCUAACAAAGAUCCUAAACCAACAACCACAUAUUCAGAGCAACUUUACUUGAGAGGAGAGGAACUAGAAAUAAAUAGAAAUGAGCGGAAGCUAUACUAUUGACUAUGCCUCUUCUCCAUGUACGCUCGGCCUCAACUAUGCUAACCUGCAAUUGGGCAUUUUAAAACGAAGAGCCUAGGGGAAAACAUUUGAAAACGUUAGAGUGAGCGGACACAAAUGAAUUUAUUAAAAAUAUUUAUGCAUUCCCAUUUUUAAUUUCCAUAGAAAUUAUGUUGCAUGCAACAAGCUCAAAAGCUCUCAUCUCAUAAACUGACAAUAACACGACUAGCUCCACCUAGUCUCCAAAGCUUUAUAAAAUAGAGCCUCUCAGGCUAAAAUAUAUGUAUGUAUUUACACACGUCCAUACUCCCUAUAUAAAUUCAUGGGUCUAUAUAGGGCUACUACGCUCGCGUCUAACGCUCACGUCACGCCUUAAUGGGGUGCUACACUACGCCAUUAAGGUGGACAGACGGGUGUAUAAAUAUGUGUCCAUACCUCCUAUAUGAAUUAGGCACUCAUAUAGGGCUACUACGCUCACGUCCAACGCUCACGUCACACCAUAAUGCGGCUAUAGGUUACGCCAUUAAGGUGGACAGACACAUAUGGCUAGCUAGCAUUUAUAUACAUACUCUCCUCAUCAAUAUAUAAUUAUAUUCACCGAAAAUCCCAUUUUCGGUAGCUCUUCAAAAGAAAUAAAAUCGUCAAAAUAAAAUGACGUCAAAUGCUCCAACACAAUAAAUUGCUCAAAAAUCAAUCAUUGCAUGCAUAUUAUUUAAAACAAAAGUCCACUCACAACUUUAGGCAUAAGCCCGACGAAAUCCAAAUCGCCACUCUAGUGAGGUUUCCUCGAACCCUGACACAAAUAUAUAAUUAAUUUCCCAACUAAAAAUCCAAUAUUUAAACAAAAUAGACAAAAUUAACCGAGAGCCAUACUCACGCUCAUCAUUGCCUAACUUCGAUACGGUCCACACCUCAACACUAAAACCAGCAGCCUUAACUACACUCUUCCACAGAUUAUACGACUUUAAACCAACGGCCGGAUUCUACCUUAUUAAUCCGCCAAAAUUACCAAACUUCGGAAAUUCACAAACCUACCAAAACUCAUCCAAAAAUUCCAUAAUUCAUAUCAAUAAACUCCCCUAAAUAUUCCACAUUUAAAACUAUACAAAACUCCCAAACAGCGGCGGCUCCGCCGACAGCGGCGGCCGGAGGCCGAUUUCGGCGACCUCCAAUGCCUAUGAAAUUUUAACAGAAUAAUCCUCUCAUCAUGCUCUACAACUUUCCUAACAAGCACAACACCCAAUUGGAGGGGUUGCUGCACGCGAGGAGGGCAUCACAACGAGCCAAGGAUCGCUAGCUAUGGCGGCCGAACGAGGGAGUUCCGGCGAAGGAACCACCACGACAGUCGCUGCUUUCGGGGGGAAGAACUCCUUCACGGCGGAGCUAGGGCGGCUGUCACCAGUCCAGGGAGGUAGCUGGGUCGGAGACCGAAAGUUUGGGACCGGAGCGUCGGCGAACGGUGGCCGGACGGCGGCGGGCGAACGGCCGGAAAAUCGGGCAGCGGGAGAGGGAGAGAGAUCGGGAGGAAGAGAAGAAGAAGAGAGAGAAAAGUGGUGUUUGGGCCUCACACCACCCGGUCCAACACUCUUAAACCAACCCAACUCCAACAUAAAACACCCCGAAAAAAUAAUACCCUAAUAAAAAUUACCUUUUACUAGCUAAAAUUUACUAUUUUUACCGUCGUCAAAUUUUUCUCCUAUAAAUAAUUCUCCGAAAAUAAACGUCCCUCAAAACACCUCUAUGGCCAAUUAAAUUAUAACCUUAAUGACGGAGACGGUAAAAUUCUUAUUAUAACCAAGCUAGUAAAUAAGGUAAAAAUUUAAGGGUCGGGAUGUGACACCAAAUGUCAAGUGUCCGAGACGUCUUGGGAGUCGAGGAUCAAACUUGAAUUUGAGCUUCCCGUGCAUAGGCAUGUAACGGAUACCUCAUCUCAUCAUCUCAUCACCCAAUGCCUUUAGACAUAGGAUGCUAACAUCACAAAUCACCUUAGACCAAGUCACCUCAGACCUGUCUCCACAACUUUCAUCUUAUAAGCUUAAGGCAAACCCAAGGCCAUGUCUUGUUUGAAC